AGUGCCUAUGUUUGGAGCUGUGGGCAGAACAAAGUAUAAGAAGACUCAGGGAGGCAGAGGGCGACCGAAUCACAAAGCAAGGUUCUCCCACCUUCUGUUCCUGGCAGGCAGUGAGGAGGCGCUGAAAGGGUCCACACAGGGGCCUGACUAGAGUGCACUGUGUUUUGGCAAGUUGUGCCAGAAAGAUGCACAGGACACUAGAGGCGGGAGGCUGCGGCCACACUGCAGGCAGGAUGCGAGGAUGGGGAGAAAACCGCUUCUCCAGACCGGAGAUGUGGGGAAGGAAGAAGCAGAGAUCGAUGCAGCAGGGAGGUGUGUCCUGGACCAGAGGGAUGGAAGGGGACUCAGGGCCACGCACAUGCUUUCUGCACAAGGCGGCGGUGUGGAGAGCUACAGGCUGAGCGCCAAGAUGAGGAUGCAUCCGUCUCACAAGCACAAGAGUGAAAGCCACCAGCCAGAGAGAGUGGGAAGAAGAGGGUGGAUCCCUGAAGACACUGCAUGAGCCCUGGGCUGGCUCCCUCCAGAAUUCUCAUGAUGUCAGAAAAAUAACUACCUGCCUGCCUAAGUCACUAUUGAUCAUCUUCGAGCUGCCGCUGAAAAUGGUGCUGAUGACAAAGGGCCAGAAGAAAAAGUACAAAUACCCACCUCAGCCUCAAGUAUAUUUGUUACAUAUUUAUGAAGUGUCAGGCCCUGUGCCAGCACUUUCUUACAAUAUCCUCCCCCUGCAUCCUGUCAGGAUCAUCCCUCCCAUUUUACAGGUAGGGAAGCUGAGCAUUUAAAUGAACUGCCCAUGGUGAUGUGGCUUUGGAAGGCUACCACAAGACCACCCAAUUCCUUUUGACAUAGCCCAAGGGUCUUUCUACUCCGGCAACCUUCAAAAGCAGAGAUACCCUUCAAAAUUUCAACUGGAUUAAAAAAAAAAAAAAAGCUUGUCAUAUUGAUGGGAGGUAGGUGGAAAGUUGAUUUAAAAAAUUUACCUGGAGGAGUAAAUGCAGAGGAAUAGUUGAUGUCAUUUUAAUAAGAAUGAGGAAGGACUUGCCUUUGCAGAUAUUAAAAUACGUGUUAUAAGGCUCAUGUGUGAAAUAGUAUUUGUUUACCCACACAGCGCUUGGCUGACAGUAAGUGCUCAAUAAAUGUUAGUUAUCAUUAUUAUAAUACGCUGAGUAGUUUUAAAUAAAUUAUCUCACUUAGCCUUUUUUUUUUUAGGGUAGGGACAUUGUGAGGAUUACUUUAUUCCCAUUUUACAGAUUAGGAAACUGAGGCUUAAAGAGUUUAAAUAACUUACUAAAGGUUAUAAAGUAAGUAAAUGGAGUAUCUAGGAGUCAAAUAAAGCAGUCUGACUUCAGGGUUAAGGCUGCUAUUCCAACACUAAUAUUAACAUCAAAAGUCUGGGGGGGAUUUAAAUAAAUGUUCGUCAAUAGGGGAGUUGGAUAAACCAGGGUACAUCAGUAUAAAGAAUAUUUCUGAGAAAGAGGCAAAAGUAUAGGACAUAAAAAGGAGGCUACAUAGAGAACAGACGUAUGGACGCUGGGCAGGGGUGGGGGAGGAUGGAGAGGGUGAGCUGUAUGGGGAGAGUAACAUGGAAACUUCUAUUAUCACAUGUUAAACAGAUGGCCAACGGGAAUUUGCUGUAUGGCUCAGGAAACUCAAUCAGGGGUUCUGUGACAACCAACAGGGGUGGGAUGGGGAGGGAGAUGGGAGGGAGAUGCAAGAGGGAGGGGACAUAUGUAUACCUAUGGCUGAUUCAU